AUGCACGCUCUCGCCGACGGCGUUCGCAAAGCCUUGUCACCACGCUGCAAGUGUUGCCCCCUCCUCCCCAAGGGCAAGGUGAAGAAAGGUGCCUGUGUAGUUCUUCUGCAGCUUGCAGCGAGGAUUGUUGUGUCCAACCUGUACAAUAAUGCCAAGAAGUCCUUGGAGACGAUUAAGGACAUGUACCUGCACUACAACGAGAGAUUUGGGCUGCUUCUUUGUGGCUUCCAAACUUGA
rnacentral:rRNA from 1 species